UGGGGAAUAUUGCACAAUGGGCGCAAGCCUGAUGCAGCAACGCCGCGUGAGGGAUGACGGCCUUCGGGUUGUAAACCUCUUUCAGCAGGGAAGAAGCGAAAGUGACGGUACCUGCAGAAGAAGCGCCGGCUAACUACGUGCCAGCAGCCGCGGUAAUACGUAGGGCGCAAGCGUUGUCCGGAAUUAUUGGGCGUAAAGAGCUCGUAGGCGGUUAGUCGCGUCUGCUGUGAAAACUCGAGGCUCAACCUCGGGCUUGCAGUGGGUACGGGCUGACUAGAGUGCGGUAGGGGUGACUGGAUUCCUGGUGUAGCGGUGGAAUGCGCAGAUAUCAGGAGGAACACCGAUGGCGAAGGCAGGUCACUGGGCCGCAACUGACGCUGAGGAGCGAAAGCAUGGGGAGUGAACAGGAUUAGAUAGCCCUGGUAGUCCAUGCCGUAAACGUUGGGCACUAGG
rnacentral:rRNA from 1 species